GGAAGGAGAGCUGGAGCCGGGGGAAGUGCCUCCUUCAGCCAGAUUAGUUAUUGGAAACUAGUUUCCUGGGGUCAGCCAGUUCUCCCAGACGGGAGAGUCUGUGGCUGUCUGGGAUCUUCUCUAGAGGUGUGGGAUCAGAGGAGAUGGGCCCAUAGCAUCAGCUCUUGGCUUCUGCCUUCAACCCCUGCAGUGUACUUCAAGGAGCAAUGGAGGAGAAAUCACCUUGGCCACCAGAGGAUGGAUACAACCCUCACUGCCAGCUGAAACACAGUUUCAGAAGGAGCCUUCUAGCAAGCAGCAGAACUUUCCUUCAGAGACAGAAGAAGAGUUCCUGCUAACAGCACCAUCUUCCAGCAGCUGAUCCAUCCAGAGAACUGAGAACAUGUUUGUGGACAAAAUCAACACAUCCGAGCAAAGCUUGAUUUUGACAUUAAACCUUCAAUCCCAUACAUUGCUAUGUGGUUCCAUUUGGCCAUAUCCUUCCUAAGACAUUGGGGAAGCUCCGGGACAGCCACGCACUUGGCACCGAGAGAAGGUCCACAUGGUGACGUGACUGCCAAGAAUCAAUGCUAUCAUCUCCUGUCCCUGCUUUGAGUUUCGCCCCAGCUGAAGUGCCAAGACCAUAGCCCAAGGGGGCGGCUCCCCUCACUAAAGGAUAGGAAGCACUUCCUCACAUCAGUGAGGUAUCCAAUUGGUCACAAAAGCUAUUUCUGCUUCAAGUAUGCCAUCAGACCUAAUGAUGCUUCCCUAGCAAAAUGUGCUCCAGCUCACACAGGGCCAACUGGAAACAAACUUAAAUGCCAUUUUUUUUUUCUACUGGGGCAGCUCAAAGCAGAUUUUUAAAAGAUGUUACUCUCACAAAUCUGUUUCAGAAGAAUUAUUAACUAUAUGGAUUAGUCCUGUGCUAGGCUGAGUUUCAGGAUAGUGAAAAUGUUUUUUCCUUAAUUUUACAAAAGCAAUUUGCGUUCUAGAUACAAAGAAAGAUGCAUACGUAUAAGCCAUUAAGUAGUUUGCAGAGCCAAGGAUGUUAACAUGAGAAAAGUUAUGAAGUAGGAUUGGGAGGUGUAGCUUAGUAAUAGAGCUCUUGCCUAGCAUGCACAAGGUCCACAGGGUUCAAUCCCCAACACCAAUAUGAGAGAGAGAGAGAGAGAGAGAGAGAGAGAGAGAGAGAGAGAGAGAGAGAGAGAGAGAGAACACACACACACACAAGAGAAAUAUUAUGAAAUGGUACCUACUAAAAGAAAGAGAUGCUUGGGCGACAUGGUAAAGGUUGUAAAAAAAUGUGUAAAGAAACAUCAUUCAUUUAAGUUUUUAAACUUAAGUUGGUGGAUAAGUGAGGAAAUCAUAUCAAAGACCCUGGAUGCUGUCCAGUAAGUGGGGGUUUAUCAAACAAUGCUUUGCAGAAUCCUAAGAUUCCACAGACAUGCCUCAAUACCUCAAUGAAUGGUGUUAAGAAUAAAUAAAUGUAGUCACUUUGACCUUAAAAUUAAUACGUACUAGUCAAAGAAAAUUGUUUUGACUGGUGUAAUAUGUUUUCACUUGAUUUUAGCCCAAAAGCUGAGAAAUGAUGUAUAUUAAGUUUCUAUAUAGGAUUUUAUUAGGGAAAAAGAAUGACAUUGAAAAUGUAAACUACUUUUUAAAUUAUUAUAGGAAGGACAGCAUCAAAGAAUUUUAUUUAUAAUAAAUUUUCACUUCAAAAUUAAUUUAAAAUUCAUUAUAUUUUUAAAACAAUACAAAUGCUUAAUUUGACACUUGGAGUUCCUGGUAUGUAUAAUGUGGAAGUUAUUACUAGCAUCAUUAUUAUUAAUUAUAUCAAUCUGGCUGCAUCUUGUAAUAUGAUGAGAACUAAUUAAAUCGGAACAUGUACCAUUAUGGGAUUUAACUGCACAUGGUAAAAAAGAAUUGCUAAGUUUCCCCUAAUCAUGCAUCCUUAUAUACACAAAAUCCACAUUAACUCAGUGGAUAGUUAAGCAUCAAGCAGGGACAGCAGAUAAUGUGCGUUUGUCCUUGAUGACUCUAAAAAAAGAUAUUAAUUUCAGUUUUACAGCUCAUUCAGAAAAUUGCCUUGAUAACUUGGGAAAGCCCUGUGUAUACUUUCUGCUUGUGUGUGUGCUUAUACUUGUGUCUAAAUCAAAAGAAACCACAGCAGCCAUAAAGGAAAUUAAAAAUAAACUUAAAUAUGCUUCCAUAAGCCAAUGCAGGGGCUCCAGAGACUUGAUCGUAAACUUGCACACUUAAAUUGUCUACAUGAAUUUUUGAUUCAAAAAUGUAGUAAGCAAUUUCAUCAUCACAAUCACAUAAAUUAAAAUAUAUUUUCACCUGGGGAAAGUAUUCCUUAAGCAAAUGUAGGAUAUUUUAUUUAGACAUUCAAGGAUCAGACAAUUUAUAAUUCUGAUCUCUAAGAAGCCUAAUAAAGCCAUUAAUUUACUUGUAUUAAAAGGAAUACAGAGUGAAUAAUAUGAGAGAUAAAGAAAAAGGAGUUUAAAACAAUCUAUUUUAUGGGAUGAUUGGGAAUCUUGAAGUAAAAUUGUAUGAACAAUUUAACUGUUAGGUCCCCAAAUGUGAUGUGCUCAAGUUCCCUCAUACUGCUAAACAAAGCAGGUGUUUAAGUUCUUGUAUUAUUUCAUCAUACUCGGACCACAUUCUUCCUGUUACUGUAUUAAGACAGUUUCCAAAAGGUCAUUUUUGUCACUGAGCAUUCUUCAGAUACUGGUUGAGAACUGUCCACAAAUACAUAAAAUAGAAGAUCAUUAAAAUAUUUAAAGGGGAAUAAAGGGAAGGGAGGGGUAUGGGAAAGAGAGUAGAAUGAAUCAGACAUAACUUUCCUAUGUUCAUAUAUGAAUACACAACCUUGUAACUCCACAUAAUGGACAACCACAAGGAUGGGAAGUUAUACUCUAUGUAUGUAUGUCAAAAUGCAUUCUCUGUCAAGUAUAUCUAAAAAAAUAAAAUAUUUAGCUAAUGUGUUACUCUAAAAUUUAAUUUAAUAUUUUUGGACUGACUAUAGUUAUCAUUCUAAUUUGACUUACUUUUAAAAUAAGGUGCUACUAUUUCUAAAAAGGAGGCUAUUAUUAUACGACUAAAAUCUUGUAUGCUUAUGGGCUGCUGUGACUGUUGCGUCCCUUCUUUGAUU